rnacentral:rRNA from 1 species
UGGGGAAUAUUGGACAAUGGGGGCAACCCUGAUCCAGCGAUGCCGCGUGAGUGAAGAAGGCCUUAGGGUUGUAAAACUCUUUCAGGGGUGAAGAUAAUGACGGUAACCCCAGAAGAAGCUCCGGCUAACUCCGUGCCAGCAGCCGCGGUAAUACGGAGGGAGCUAGCGUUGUUCGGAAUUACUGGGCGUAAAGCGCGCGUAGGCGGCUUUGCAAGUAGAGGGUGAAAUCCCGGGGCUUAACCUCGGAACUGCCUCCUAAACUGCAGAGCUAGAAUCCUGGAGAGGUGAGUGGAAUUCCUAGUGUAGAGGUGAAAUUCGUAGAUAUUAGGAAGAACACCAGUGGCGAAGGCGACUCACUGGACAGGUAUUGACGCUAAGGUGCGAAAGCGUGGGGAGCGAACAGGAUUAGAUACCCUGGUAGUCCACGCCGUAAACGAUGGGUGCUAGGUGUUGGGUAGCUUGCUAUUCAGUGCCGCAGCUAACGCGUAAGCACCCGCCUGGAGACGAAUGU